rnacentral:rRNA from 1 species
AGUGAACGCUGGCGGUAGGCCUAACACAUGCAAGUCGAACGGCAGCACAGUAAGAGCUUGCUCUUACGGGUGUCGAGUGUCGGACGGGUGAGGAGUACAUCGGAAUCUACUUUUUCGUGGGGGAUAACGUAGGGAAACUUACGCUAAUACCGCAUACGACCUACGGGUGAAAGCAGGGGAUCUUCGGACCUUGCGCGAUUGAAUGAGCCGAUGUCGGAUUAGCUAGUUGGCGGGGUAAAGGCCCACCAAGGCGACGAUCCGUAGCUGGUCUGAGAGGAUGAUCAGCCACACGGGAACUGAGACACGGUACAGACUCCUACGGGAGGAAGCAGUGGGGAAUAUUGGACAAUGGGCGAAAGCCUGAUCCAGCCAUACCGCGUGGGUGAAGAAGGACUUCGGGUUGUAAAGCCCUUUUGUUGGGAAAGAAAAGCAGCAGGUUAAUACCCCGCUGUUAUGACGGUACCCAAAGAAUAAGCACCGGCUAACUUCGUG